rnacentral:rRNA from 1 species
UACGUAGGGGGCAAGCGUUGUCCGGAUUUAUUGGGCGUAAAGAGCUCGUAGGCGGCUUGUCGCGUCGACUGUGAAAACCCGCGGCUCAACUGCGGGCCUGCAGUCGAUACGGGCAGGCUAGAGUUCGGUAGGGGGAGACUGGAAUUCCUGGUGUAGCGGUGAAAUGCGCAGAUAUCAGGAGGAAUACCGGUGGCGAAAGCGACUCUCUGGACGGCAACUGACGCUGAGGCACGAAAGCGUGGGGAGCAAACAGG